rnacentral:misc_RNA from 1 species
GUUGUUAGGAACCCCGAGAAUAGGCAAGUUCUUUUAUUGCCCUUCUAUGGGUAAUGUCAAUUUUUUUUAUCCUUGGUGUUUUUGACAUAUAUCAUCAAGGUAUCAAAUAAUGUAAAGCAUUGGUCAUAUGAUGUAAUUCUGACAGACCACAGACCAGAGACUAAUUCUGCCAGCAUUACUGAAUUGUGAUGCCAUUGCCAUCACUAACUUUUAAACUCGGCUUUCUCAUUUUACAGAACACUCCUGCUCAGCCAAGG